CUACGGGCGGCUCCAGUGGGGAAUAUUGCACAAUGGGCGCAAGCCUGAUGCAGCCAUGCCGCGUGUAUGAAGAAGGCCUUCGGGUUGUAAAGUACUUUCAGCGGGGAGGAAGGGAGUAAAGUUAAUACCUUUGCUCAUUGACGUUACCCGCAGAAGAAGCACCGGCUAACUCCGUGCCAGCAGCCGCGGUAAUACGGAGGGUGCAAGCGUUAAUCGGAAUUACUGGGCGUAAAGCGCACGCAGGCGGUUUGUUAAGUCAGAUGUGAAAUCCCCGGGCUCAACCUGGGAACUGCAUCUGAUACUGGCAAGCUUGAGUCUCGUAGAGGGGGGUAGAAUUCCAGGUGUAGCGGUGAAAUGCGUAGAGGUCUGGAGGAAUACCGGUGGCGAAGGCGGCCCCCUGGACGAAGACUGACGCUCAGGUGCGAAAGCGUGGGGAGCAAACAGGAUUAGAUACCCUUGUAGUC
rnacentral:rRNA from 1 species